UUUCUCCAGAAAGAAUCUGAGAAUACGAAUUUUUAACAUAGAGAAUCGUUAUUACAAUAUCCUUUGGUAUUGUCUUCUUGUUCAUGUUCAUUGGACCAGGAAAAUGAACUGUUACCAACUUGCAAAUCAAAGUCGUUUACGAGUACACAAAAGCAAGUAGUGUGAAAGAGAAGGCUCUUGGUCUCUUCUUGCGACCAUCUCUUCUUCUUACACACCACCUAGCUUGGGAAAACCUUUAGAGCAGGAUUAUCGCGGUCUUUAAGGGGGGGGGGGGAGUUUAGUGUUUUUAGGAUUAAAAAUAAAAGAUAAAUAUGUAAUUAAGGUGAAAACGUCCCUUAAAUGGAACAUUGAAGAGGCGUCUCUUCUUAACACGUGUCACGCAUUGAUGGCAUUUCUCUCCCGAGACGAAACCAAACCUUUCGUUUGGUCAUUCAUCGUCGACUCCGCUUCUCUCUCUCGUGCUCUCUCUCUCUUGCGUCGAGUCGACGGAAUCAAGCGGUGUUCUCUCGUCGACGGAAUCAAUCGGCGGCGCUGUCGGUGUACUCGUCGUAUCUCACCCUCUUCUCGACGGAAUCAAGCGGAAUCAAUCGCUGAUCACUCGACGACUCCGCGUCUCUCUCUCUCACCUCGACUGACACCUCGUCUCUCUCCCUCUCCUCGACGAGAACCCUUCUCUCUCCCUCUCCUCGACGAUGCCGCGUCUCAAUCUCUCUCCGCCUUGACUCGAAUCGAAAGGUAAUCAUUUGUUCUUGUGUUCUUCUUUCAUGCAUGUCUUUGAUUAGGCUGCUUCUUGUUCUGAUCUCAUGUUUGAUUUGUUUUGUCGGUUUGAUUCUGUUUCGCGGUGGCUCUCUACGACGGCGACGGAGCUCUCUGCGGUGGCUCUCCUCUGAUCAAAAGAGAGGAUCAAAGACGUUUUUUGUUGCUUGGAAAGAGACACGGGGAAGGUUCAUCGAUCAAAGGACUUCAAUUUCAAAACAAGGACUACAAACAACCGAUUCUAAACAAGGAUUAGUCAACUGUUGAUUCGUGUUUCUUCUUCUCCCAAUCACAAUAUAGAACAGCCUUUCUGAGAUUUUUUGUUUUUCUUGUUCUUGUUUUUGGGUAGCUCGAGAACUACUUUGAUGGCCACAUCAAAGACAGCUUUAACAUUCUGUAUAAUUGUUGACCAAAAAAAAAAAACAUUCUGUAUAAUUGAACGAGUUCUCCCGUCAGCAAGAUUCUGAAAGAAAACUAUAAAAAUGAUGUUGAAUUUUGUA